GACAGAGGGUGCAAACGUUGUUCGGAAUUACUGGGCGUAAAGCGUGUGUAGGCGGCCACGUAAGUCGGAUGUGAAAGCCCCGGGCUCAACUCUGGAACUGCCUUCGAAACUAGAGGACUUGGGUACGGGAGAGGUGAGUGGAAUUCCGAGUGUAGAGGUGAAAUUCGUAGAUAUUCGGAAGAACACCAGUGGCGAAGGCGGCUCACUGGCCCGUUACCGACGCUCAGGCGCGACAGCGUGGGGAGCAAACGGG
rnacentral:rRNA from 1 species